rnacentral:lncRNA from 1 species
CUGUCAGGCUCUAAGUUCUAAGCUCUCUCUGUCCCUAAGAUGCAAGGCCACAUCUGAAGUCCAUAAAAGUUGAGGACUCAUACUUCAAUUUAUUAUUGUUGUUCCUAUUAGUGCUCAGAACGAUGCCGUCUUCCCUUGGUAAGGAAGUGUGCACCGUCAAAGCCUCUGCAUGCUCAGUUUGCCAAUUCUUGUUUACUUGGAAGCCUGAGUCAACCAACCGUGGCCACCCAGAACACACACAGACCCAAUACACCAGACUCACACCUCCCAUGAACUGAGAGUCAGCCCUAUGUCCACAGACAGAUGCCUAUCCCUCCAGCGGGUACCAGAUGCACUGUUCCAGACCCACCCCUUAAGCCCAGACCACGAAUGUUAGAAAAUAGGAACUGGAUAGGCAAAAUAAUAGAGAUCCACUACGUAGGACUUUAAUCUUACUCCUCAGUCAUUACCCUGGCUUGCUGGUGCCAUCUCAAAUUCACAGGUAUCAUGGUGACGGUCGUCUUGUGUCUAAGCUUGUGCAUGUCUGGUCUCCUCUAGCUGUGAAAACUACAUUUCCAGUGUGUGCUGGGCAGGCAGUGCAGACUGUGGGGCUGACUGCACAGCUGGAGGCUUCAGGGGCAGGAGGAUGCCUUGAAGAGGCUGUGCCUGUGCUCCUGCAGGGGCCGCCCGGAGCACCCAGGUCUCAGGACCUUCGUGAACAUGUGGACGCUGCACAGAGGCCUGGAGAGGGCCCCAGGGGACUGGGGACUGGUGAGAGAACUGGAGGGCACAGCAGUGGCGAGGGUGGUGUGUCCAGAUCAGACAGCACACUUAACUCAGGCCCUGGAACAGAUCAGCGAGGCCGCUGCAGAGGGCGGCCUUAUCAGUGUGACACCUGUGACCGGAGCUUCAAAUGCCACUCAGAUGUGGUGAAGCACCAAAGCAUCCAUUCUGGGGGCAAGCCCUACGAGUGCAGCGACUGUGGGAAGGCCUUCAUCCACAGCUCGCACGUGGUGCGGCACCAGAGGACUCACCACGGGGACAAGCCCUACGUGUGCCAGGAGUGCGGGAAGGCCUUCAGCCAGAGCUUCAACCUCCUCAGACACCAGAGGGUCCACACGGGCGAGAAGCCCUACGAGUGUCCCGAGUGCGGCAAGGCCUUCAGCCAGAGGUCGGACGCCGCCAAGCACCGGAGGAUCCACACUGGAGAGAGGCUGUACGAGUGCAGCGACUGCGGCAGGACCUUCGUGCACAGCUCCAACGUGGUGCGCCACCAGCGGACUCACCACGGGGCGAGCCCGUACGAGUGCCAGGACUGCGGCCGCGCCUUCAGCCAGAGCUCCAACCUCCUCCAGCACCAGCGGGUCCACACGGGCGAGCGCCCCUACGCGUGCCCGGACUGCGGCCGCGCCUUCAGCCGCGCCUCCUUCCUCGGCGAGCACCGCCGCAUCCACACGGGCGAGAAGCCCCACGAGUGCGGCCAGUGCGGCCGCGCCUUCCGGGCGCUGUCCGGCUUCUUCCGGCACCAGAGGGUGCACACGGGCGAGAGGCCGUUCCGCUGCUCCGAGUGCGGCAGCGCCUUCCGCCUCAGCUCCCAUCUGAUCCAGCACCGGAGGGUGCACGGCGCGGAGUGAGCGCACGCGGGGGGCGCGGAGUGAGCGCACGCGGGGUGCGCAGGGGCAGCACCUCUGGGGCCUCCCACACCGCAGGCCUGUUCUCACUCUGUGCAGCCAGGGAAACAAUAAAGGUUUCUGCCUCUGAAAGCCUCCCUCUGUCUGCAGCCGGCGGGAAGGGAGGGUAGGAAAGGCCAGUGUCGCUGAUGGGCACUGCAGGCUUUCCCAAGGUAGAGACUUGAGGGACCCUGGGCAGUGCUGGACUGUGCCAGCUUUGCUCUGUGGUCAGCAGGCCUCACCUGUGCCCUCAUAACUCCCCUUAAUCUCAUUCUUCAAUGUGCAUGCAAAAAAGAUAUCAGGAGACUGCUUCUAAUAGACAACCAAGAAACAGAAUUUUUUAGAACUCAAAAGAAAAUAGGGGUAGUGUGGGAAAUAAGAAAAGGUGAACAAGAUUAUAAGUCAUAACCUUAGAGAAAGUGCAAGGGGAGCCAGCUGUGGGUGAGGUGGACAGUUGCUUAAAAAGAAACUGUAGCAUUAAAUCACAACAGAACAUGACUGUUAA